rnacentral:rRNA from 1 species
ACGACGCUGGCGGCGUGCCUAACACAUGCAAGUCGAACGCGAAAGUCCUUCGGGAUGAGUAAAGUGGCGCACGGGUGAGUAACACGUAGGUGACCUGCCUUUUAGAGGGGAAUAACCAGAUGAAAAUUUGGCUAAUGCCGCAUACGAAGAGCAAAUCUAAGAGUAGCUCUUGAAAGGAUGCCUCUGUAUAUGCAUCCACUAAAAGAUGGGCCUGCGGAACAUUAGCUAGUUGGUGGGGUAAAGGCCUACCAAGGCAACGAUGUUUAUCCGGUCUGAGAGGAUGAUCGGACACACUGGAACUGAGACACGGUCCAGACUCCUACGGGAGGCAGCAGUGGGGAAUAUUGCGCAAUGGGGGAAACCCUGACGCAGCAACGCCGCGUGAGUGAGGAAGGACUUCGGUCUGUAAAGCUCUGUUAAUGAGGAAAAAUGGUAGUUGGUCUAAUAGGCCGAUUAUUUGAUGGUACUCAUAGAGGAAGCACCGGCUAACUUCGUG